GAUGAACGCUGGCGGCGUGCCUAAUACAUGCAAGUCGAGCGAACAGAUGAGGAGCUUGCUCCUCUGACGUUAGCGGCGGACGGGUGAGUAACACGUGGAUAACCUACCUAUAAGACUGGGAUAACUUCGGGAAACCGGAGCUAAUACCGGAUAAUAUAUUGAACCGCAUGGUUCAAUAGCGAAAGACGGUUUUGCUGUCACUUAUAGAUGGAUCCGCGCCGCAUUAGCUAGUUGGUAAGGUAACGGCUUACCAAGGCAACGAUGCGUAGCCGACCUGAGAGGGUGAUCGGCCACACUGGAACUGAGACACGGUCCAGACUCCUACGGGAGGCAGCAGUAGGGAAUCUUCCGCAAUGGGCGAAAGCCUGACGGAGCAACGCCGCGUGAGUGAUGAAGGUCUUCGGAUCGUAAAACUCUGUUAUUAGGGAAGAACAAAUGUGUAAGUAACUAUGCACGUCUUGACGGUACCUAAUCAGAAAGCCACGGCUAACUACGUG
rnacentral:rRNA from 1 species